rnacentral:rRNA from 1 species
AAAGGAAGUUGACGGGGAGCACCACAACGGGUGGAGCUUGCGGUUUAAUUGGAUUCAACGCCGGAAAUCUUACCGGGACCGACAGCAAUAUGAAGGCCAGGCUGAAGACUUUGCCGGAUUAGCUGAGAGGUGGUGCAUGGCCGUCGUCAGUUCGUACUGUGAAGCAUCCUGUUAAGUCAGGCAACGAGCGAGACCCACGCCUACAGUUGCCAGCGUACUCUCUGGAGUGACGGGUACACUGUGGGACCGCCGCUGCUAAAGCGGAGGAAGGAAUGGGCAACGGUAGGUCAGUAUGCCCCGAAUAUCCCGGGCUACACGCGAGCUACAAUGGUUGGUACAAUGGGUAUCUACCCCGAAAGGGGACGGGAAUCUCCUAAAACCAAUCUUAGUUCGGAUUGAGGGCUGCAACUCGCCCUCAUGAAGCUGGAAUCCGUAGUAAUCGCGUUUCAACAGAACGCGGUGAAUACGUCCCUGCUCCUU